UACAGAGGGUGCAAGCGUUGUUCGGAUUCACUGGGCGUAAAGGGUGCGUAGGUGGUGGGGUAAGUCUCGUGUGAAAGCUCGCAGCUUAACUGCGAAAAGUCACGGGAUACUAUUCCGCUGGAGGCUUGGAGGGGGGACUGGAAUACUUGGUGUAGCAGUGAAAUGCGUAGAUAUCAAGUGGAACACCUGUGGCGAAGGCGAGUCCCUGGACAAGACCUGACACUGAGGCACGAAAGCCAGGGGAGCAAACGGG
rnacentral:rRNA from 1 species